GGAAAACAUGCUGCAAAUUCGAAGAUGGUGGUGUCUUGUUCUCCUGCAGAACUUCCCCAUGCCAUCUGAAGAAGAGAUAGCAGCAAAGAAAAAGGCAACGAGAGCAGAAAAAACUACAGCUGGGCGUCUCCCUGCCUUAUCGUGCAGAAGUCAGACAAGUCACCACGCAUGUGCACAGACUUCCAUAAAGUUAAUGCGGUAACAAACCUGACUCAUUUCCAUUGCCAAGAGUUGAGGACUGUGUUGACCAAGUCAGAAGUGCUCAGUUUGUAAGUAAGCUAGAUCUUCUGAAAGGGCAUUGGCAAGUGCCUUUAACCCAAAGAGCACAGGAAAUUGCAAGUUUUAUCGCUCCAUCUGGCUUGUUUUCCUAUACAGUCAUGGGUUUUGGUUUAAGAAAUGCUCCAGCAACAUUUCAACGGUUAAUGAAUCGUCUUGUCAGUGGUUUGAAGGGCUGCACGGUAUAUUUACAUGAUGUCGUUGGCUACAGCAAUACUUGGGAUGAACAUUUAUACCAAAUUCAGGCACUGUUUGAUCAUUUGUCUAAUAGGAACCUUACUUUAAAUUUAGCCAAGUGUGAUUUUGCUAAAGCUACUGUUACAUAUUUGGAAAAAGUUGUGGGACAGGGUCAAGUACGGCCUGUAAUGGCAAAAGUCACAGCAGUUUCUCAGUUUCCUACUACAAAGAAAGAACUCAUGAGAUUCUUAGGCCUUGUGGGUUACUAUCGUUGUUUCUGUCGAAACUUUUCCAGUGUUGUAGCUCCUUUAACAGAUUUGCUUAAAUCCAAAGUAAAAUUUGUUUGGUCUCAGUCUUGUCAGCAAGCUUUUGAUGAAGUUAAGGCCCUCCUUUGUUCAUCUCCUGUUGUCCUUGCUCCCAGGUUCGAUCAGCCAUUCAAGCUACAUGUUGAUGCUAGCCAUGUAGGAGCAGGAGCAAUGUUGCUACAGUCGGAUGACAAUGGAGUGGACUGCCCUGUUAGCUUCUUCUCUAAGAAGUUCAGUUCAUAUCAGCUGAAUUAUUCAGUUAUAGAAAAAGAAGCUCUUGCUUUGAUCCUGGCUUUACAACAUUUUCAAGUUUACAUUGAGUCUAGUUCUUCAGUCAUUGUGUAUUCGGAUCACAAUCCUUUAACCUUUCUAAAUUCUCUACAAAAUCCAAAUCAGAGGUUAAUGCGCUGGGCACCAUUUCUGCAACCAUAUCAUUUAGACAUCAGACAUAUUAAAGGCAAAGAGAAUGUGUUAGCGGACGCUCUGUCCCAUGCCCCUCUGUAAUCUGUUGUUCAUCCCAUCUCUAGUUUCUCCUCUCCUCCUCUUAAUUCACGCCUCGGCGCCAAGGCUGCUGAGUUGGAGUGGUUGAGCUGGAAGUUGGUGUUUUGAAUUCUGGGUCGGACAUCAUCUGAAGCAGCGUUUCUGGACACCUGUGGGGUCUUCAGGACUGGUGCGUGGGGUGCUGCGCCUCUGUACAGCCCCGAUGCCUGUUUCUUUUGCACAUCGAUAGGUUUGCCCAUCGGUGUCAAGGUACCUUUUAUCAGUCCUGUGGUUAUCUUGGAGUUGUGUCUGGGCUUCUUGCUGCGCCUCCUAUGUCCAGGUGUCCAUUUGUCCAUCCGCUGCUGGUGAUUCCGGAUGUCUGCUGCUGUCCCAGGGUCUGUCGUGUUGUGUCCUGGGUUCCUGGUUCCUAUGGUUGCCCUGCCUGGUCCCCCUGGUCCCUGUCCUUUGAGUAUGCUUUCUCUGGCUCGCCGCUGGAGGAAAUCCAGUGUUAUUGAAAGUGUAUGCUCUAAUUUGGAGACGGUCCCCUACAAGGGGCCCUUUUUUUGUGGGAGGGGGUGUGACGGCCCCAGGGCCUUUGCAGCUGCUCCUCUCCCAUCUCCCUCUGUGCAGGUGGGCUGUGCCGGUUGUGUGUGGCUAUGGCCCCUCUUCCUAAUCUGGGCUAUUUAGGCAGAUCUGGCACACCUGUUCGGAGUCUGCUCCUGCUCCCUGGCCACCAUGCUGUCUCCUUUUUGUUUAGUUUGAUUUAUCUACACAUCCACACACCACAUGCACUCCACCUUACACUUACACAUUUUAUUGUU